rnacentral:rRNA from 1 species
UGGGGAAUAUUGGACAAUGGGCGCAAGCCUGAUCCAGCAAUGCCGCGUGUGUGAAGAAGGCCUUCGGGUUGUAAAGCACUUUUAUCAGGAGCGAAACGCUGUCGGCUAAUACCCGGCGGAACUGACGGUACCUGAGGAAUAAGCACCGGCUAACUUCGUGCCAGCAGCCGCGGUAAUACGAAGGGUGCAAGCGUUAAUCGGAAUUACUGGGCGUAAAGCGUGCGUAGGCGGUUUCUUAAGUCUGCUGUGAAAUCCCCGGGCUCAACCUGGGAAUGGCAGUGGAUACUGGGAGGCUAGAGUGUGUCAGAGGGUGGUGGAAUUCCCGGUGUAGCGGUGAAAUGCGUAGAGAUCGGGAGGAACAUCAGUGGCGAAGGCGGCCACCUGGGACAACACUGACGCUGAGGCACGAAAGCGUGGGGAGCAAACAGGAUUAGAUACCCUGGUAGUCCACGCCCUAAACGAUGCGAACUGGAUGUUGGUCUCAACUCGGAGAUCAGUGUCGAAGCUAACGCGUUAAGUUCGCCGCCUGGGGAGUACGGU